rnacentral:lncRNA from 10 species
UUUCUGUCUAGCUCAGGGAUUGUAAAUGCACCAAUCAGCACCGGGUCAAAACAGACCACUUGGCUCUACCAAUCAGCAGGAUGUGAGUGGGGCCAGAUAAGAGAAUAAAAGCAGGCUGCCCAAGCCAGCAGGGGCAACCCGCGCGGGUCCCUUUCCACUCUGUGGAAGCUUUGUUCUUUUGCUUUUUGCAAUAAACCUUGCUACUGCUCACUUUUUGGGUUAACACUGCUUUUAUGAGUUGUAACACUCACCGCAAAGGUCUGCAGCUUCACUCCUGAGCCAGCUCUGAGACCGUGAACCCACCAGAAAGAAGAAACUCCGAACACAUCCGAACAUCAGAAGGAAUAAACUCCAGACGCGCCACCUUAAGAGCUGUAACACUCACCGCGAGGAUCCGCGGCUUCAUUCUUGAAGUCAGUGAGACCAAGAACCCACCAAUUCCAGAGACACUACUGUGUGGGUUUCUGUGGACAGCAGUUCUGCCAAACUGUUUUCCAGUGUGGCUGUACCAUUUUGCAUUCCCGCCAGCAAUGAAACGAAGUUUCUAAUGCUUCACCUUGUCACCAGUAUUUGAUAUUAUCAGUGUCCUGGCUACUCAAAUAGGUGCGUAGUGGUAACUUGUUUUAACUUGCAAUUCCC